UGUGAGGGAACUGUUGUCCUUAUAAGAGGAAGGGACUCCAGAGCUCUCUGCACACUCACCCUUUGAGGAAAGGCCACGCGAGGACAGAGAGAGAAGAUGGACAUCUGCAAGACCAUCUGGAAGAGAGAUUUCACCAGAAACCCACCCUGCCUUGAUCUAGGACUUCCAGCCUCCAGAACUGUCUACAUGGCAUGAGUAUCCUGUUGCCCAGUGGGGGCACUCCCAGGGCUGCCUCCCCAUCAUGAGCCAAUCGCUGGACAAGAAUGACAGAACAAACAACCAAAAGCACACCCUCUCUCUGAUGUAUCUGGAGACGAGAGCCUUGAACUUACACUGUGUUAUGUCAUCAACAAGGUCAACCCGAGAUAAUGGGAGUCCACAAGCUAUGACAUGUAUUACAUCACUAAAAGAACCAGAUUUCACACCAAUACUGGCACAUCUCUCCCCAUGAUUCUCACUUUACCCAGAAGCCUCUAGCACCCCAGAAUUCCUAACAAAAACUUUAAAUCUCUCAUUAAUAACAUUCAAAGAUGGCAGCUUCUGCUCGCUGUAGGCACUCAUAAAAUACUGUUCUUCUG